CGAUGGCAUGUUGGAACUAUAUUGGAUAUGAUGCCGUGUCAAUGAUGAUAGAAGAGGUCAGCAAUCCUACAAAAGACAUCCCAAUUGGCGUUUCGGAUUAAUGCAGAGGCGUCGUUCUUGUCGUCGUUUGGAUGAUCAAAAGUGGGAUGGGGAUGGGCUUUGAACGUGAUCGAUGCCGGAGCCAGCUUGGGAUUCUGACAUCGCUGCUGGUAUAUAUGUUGGGCCAAGCUUGUUUUCUCUACAUCAUUGUACGCUUAAACCGAUAGGAUUCAAGACCAAGUUUGGGAUUUUAGAGUUGAAGAUGUAAUAAGCAUAAAAUGGUCAUUGACUUAUGGUGUUAGUUAGGCACAAGUUUUUUUGUAAUAAAUGAAAAGUGAGGGGGUUGGGUGUAAUAAGCACAAAUGGAAUGGGAGGUGGAUGGAAAUGUCCCUUAUUUUUUUUAAACUACAUAACUUUAGGUGUCUAGGCCUUAAUUAGCAAUGUUAUUAUAGUAAUACAAAGGAUUAGUGCUUGACCACUAACCCUCUAUGGAGAACC